rnacentral:rRNA from 1 species
UACGGAGGGUGCAAGCGUUAUCCGGAUUCACUGGGUUUAAAGGGUGCGUAGGUGGGUUGAUAAGUCAGUGGUGAAAUCCCCGAGCUUAACUUGGGAACUGCCAUUGAUACUAUUGAUCUUGAAUACCGUGGAGGUCAGCGGAAUAUGUCAUGUAGCGGUGAAAUGCUUAGAUAUGACAUAGAACACCAAUUGCGAAGGCAGCUGGCUACGCGAAUAUUGACACUGAGGCACGAAAGCGUGGGGAUCAAACAGG